UCGGGACCGGAGCGCGGACA
rnacentral:miRNA from 1 species